CCUACGGGGGGCAGCAGUGAGGAAUAUUGGUCAAUGGGCGAGAGCCUGAACCAGCCAAGUCGCGUGAGGGAGUACUGCCCUAUGGGUUGUAAACCUCUUUUGUCGGGGAGCAAAAGCCGGACGUGUCCGGCUGUGAGAGUACCCGAAUAAAAAGCAUCGGCUAACUUCGUGCCAGCAGCCGCGGUCAUACGGAGGAUGCGAGCGUUAUCCGGAUUUAUUGGGUUUAAAGGGUGCUCAGGCGGAUUUUUAAGUCAGCGGUAAAAUCGUGGGGCUCAACCCCAUCCAGCCGUUGAAACUGGGGAUCUAGAGUGUGCGAGAGGUAUGCGGAAUGCGUGGUGUAGCGGUGAAAUGCAUAGAUAUCACGCAGAACCCCGAUUGCGAAGGCAGCAUACCGGUGCACAACUGACGCUCAGGCACGAAAGCGUGGGUAUCGAACAGGAUUAGAUACCCCGGUAGUC
rnacentral:rRNA from 1 species